UGUCAUUCUGCACUCAAAACUAAAAAUCAUAACUAGUCUCUGAAUAGACAUACAAAUGUAUUUGUUUUAGGUUAAUGGAAUUAAAGGUGCAUCACCGUUGAUGGUUAUGAGCUAUGUGGAUCUACCUAACAUAUUUGUGAUGGAUUGGAUGCAUAAUGUUCUGCUGGGCAUUACAAAGGCUGAACUUCUGGUUGAACUACUCAUAUAAGAACUCAGCUUUCUAUGUUGGAGACAAGAUCACUUCAUUGGAUCAGAAAUUGUUACGCCUACAAAUUCCAGACUUUGUAUCUAGAAGAGAGCGAUCACUCCAUGAUCAUUCUCACUGGAAAGCAUCAGAAUGCGGAGAAUGGUUGAUCCAUUUCUGUGCCAGUUCUUUUCAGCAUUCUAAGCCCUACUGUAUUUAUUCACUACAUGUUGCUAACAACAGCAAUGAGCCUGCUUACCAAGGACGACAUGACCCAAGAUGACAUCAGCCUUGCAGAAGACCUGUUGAAAGGGAAAACACAGACUAUGAAUGUCCAUCUGCUGCGCCACAUAGCACAGUUUACCGGUUUGUAUGGACCUCUAUUCAAUUUCUCCUGCUUUGGAUUUGAGUCCAUGAAUGCAUACCUGAAGAAAAUGGUGUGCUUUGCUGUCACAUUAUCCAAACAAAUAGCAACCAUGUAGAGACAGCUUACAGACACUGCAGCCGACAGAUCAGUGAAAAAACUGGCCAGACAAUUGGGUUCUAACAUUGUAGUUGAAGAGAAAAUGGCCAACAGGGAGUGUAUAUUGGAAAAUUGAAACCAUUCAAAGCAACGGAUGAGAACUACAAUCUUCAGCCAGAGGACUUUAAAGCAGGCAACCCCAAGUCCUUCACAAGAUUAUAAAAGGGCUAUGAAAUCUUUUUUGGCAAGCACAAUUCUGUUGCCAAAACCAAGAACUCAUUCACUAUUAGCUUUGAAUAUAAUAAUGAAGAACAAAUUAUGCCCUUUUUCUUAGUACAUGAUACAAAAUUUGCUAUAGUGAAAGUUUUUGAAACUGAAAGAAUCGGUCUUGGUAAGGAAGAAAAGAGAUCCAUAACAGACGAUACUUUAGAGCACUAUCUAGAUAAACCUGUGUGUCCACAUAUUGUGCAAAUAAUCUCACAUCAACAAAUGUGUAGUGUCAGUGAGAAAGCUCAUUUCCAAAUGUGUUUUUUUUUUGUUUUUUUGUUUUUUUAUAUCAGCCCAACAAUGACAUUUAUAAGCAGUCCUCCAAAUUUGGUUGAACAUGGUUGAAUACAGGACAUUAGUCAGAAAUAUUUAAUCAUAACAGCCGCAAACAAAGUUGAAGCGGUUUAUACUGGUUUGAAAUGUGACAUCUAAUCAUCUAGUAAAUUAAUAAUAAAGUAUUACCAUGUUAUAGCAUUGAAGGUUACCAUAUUGCGGGUUUUUAUUUCUGCUGAAUCUGCGGGUCGAGGCUGUCAAGCAGAAAUACUGCACAUUUAAACUAUUAGCAGAAUUUUUUGACGCAGAAAUAAACUUUUGAUAUUUUGCUUAAUAUAAUGACCCGUUAAUUAUCUUUAUCUUCGUCUGUUAAGUUAUUCACACCUGUAUUGGUUGUGGUUGAUUGCUUUUGUUAUUGUAUCAAUCUAUUGUCCACGAAUGAAUGGUUACCGUGUAAUCUUUACAAGCACUCUAGGUUUAUGAAAAGUUAAACAAACUUAUUAAGUGUGUUGUAAUUGAAUGGAUUAUGAACUAUGUACUAGAUUUUGCAUUUGUAUAUAUUUGUAAAUGAAUCGUAAAUUUUUCUACCAGCAAUGUUACAUUUUCAAAAUGAAUUACGGGUACUCAG
rnacentral:misc_RNA from 1 species